AGUCAGCCGGACUCGCGAAUGCUCUAGAUUAAAGUUUGAUCAUGGCUCAGAUUGAACGCUGGCGGCCAAGCCUAACACAUGCAAGUCGAACGGUAACAGGAAGCAGCUUGCUGCUUUGCUGACGAGUGGCGGACGGGUGAGUAAUGUCUGGGAAACUGCCUGAUGGAGGGGGAUAACUACUGGAAACGGUAGCUAAUACCGCAUAACGUCGCAAGGCCAAAGAGGGGGACCUUCGGGCCUCUUGCCAUCGGAUGUGCCCAGAUGGGAUUAGCUAGUAGUGGGGUAACGGCUCACCUAGCGACGAUCCCUAGCUGGUCUGAGAGGAUGACCAGCCACACUGGAACUGAGACACGGUCCAGACUCCUACGGGAGGCAGCAGUGGGGAAUAUUGCACAAUGGGCGCAAGCCUGAUUGCAGCCAUGCCGCGUGUAUGAAGAAGGCCUUCGGGUUUGUAAAGUACUUUCAGCGGGGAGGACGGGCGAUUACGUGUUUAUUAACCUUGUCGCAUUUGACCGUUACCCGCCAGGAAAGAAAGCACCGGGCUAACUCCG
rnacentral:rRNA from 1 species